rnacentral:lncRNA from 1 species
UGCGUUCUCACUGAUACUAGAUACUAAAUUCUCAUUGUUUCUAUAGCUAGACUCUCUGACAUUAGAAUCCUAAGGAUUUUGUUGCAGAAUUGCUUAAGAUGUUUUUCAGAUCCUGAAUUCCAGCAAAAUGGGUGGUGCCAACCAGUUUGAAGAACCCCACAGAGGAACGGAAUCAACAUGAGAAUACAGUUUCUUCAUCUAUCUUGUGACUUCAUCCUACACUCUUCAACCUAACAACCAUCUCUACACCUCAGCCCGCUACUUGUCCAAGCCUCUUAAAAUCCCUAUCCCUAGACUCCUCCGGGAGGCAGAUUUGAGGUUUCCCCCCAUCUCUUUCAUUUGUCUGCCUUAUGAUUAAACCUCUUUCUCUGC